rnacentral:lncRNA from 1 species
CGCGCAUGCGCAUUACUUUAUCUCCAUUUUGUACCUUCCCUGGACGCGAAGAGAACUUCUAUCGCCGUAAAUUUUGCAUCAAUUUUUUGCGAAAUCUGGCGAAGAAUCUAACUCACUGGCUUUCGUUUACCCCGUAUGGCUUCAGAAGAGAAAUGUGCUUUACUAAAAUCUGUUCUUGUGAAUGCUGAUUCUUCAGAACAGGAGCUAACUCAAGCCUAUCUGCAGCUUGCUUUCCAGUACACAUCUAAUAAAUCUUCAAAGGUAACUUGUUUGAAGAACGGCUAUGGGGGCUGCCAUCUUACGUUCUAAAAUACACUGCGUAUGCGCUUCUAUCUUGCACAAUUUGCCGAUGACUAAAAAACAAAGAGGACACCAGCACACGGCAUGCUCCAUACAUCGGCGCUACAUAUAAGAGAUCGCGAGCCAGCUGAUUCUCAAGCUCACUGCAUGCAAUUUUUUUUUUACUCGGCCUCAAGAUUCUUGAUCGUUCCCAACCGAGUAAAUAAUGAGUUGUCAGACUAAAAUCAGCGAUUUUUGUCUUCACGAUCGGCAGUGACUUAUAGCUCCAAAGGUAGUAUGAGUGAAGCUACUAGCAUAACUGAGUAAAAAUUAGCUGAUCCAUGUCUAUGAUGGCAUAAGAACUGAUGUUAUGACUUAGCUGGAAGUAGACUUAGAUCUAGAUCUGUAUGUGCUCUUAACCACAUGAUUCUCAUUUGUAGUUAUUUCUCUUGCCCCUUAAAAAUUAAGUGUAGUACCAUCAUAAAAAAUAUUUUAGAGCAAAAGAAUUAAAAAAAAAAAUUGGGCAAGCGGUAUUUUCUACCGGGCAAGCAUUUUUUUUUUAAGAGGCCUGCAAUAGCAAGUGCUCAUGACAACAUGGGGAUUCCCCUAUAGUUUGCUCAUGCUGCUUGUAUCUUGUGACCUCAAAUUCAGACUUUCUUUAGAUGUAACUUUUAAUGGGUGGUUAUGUCAAUCAUGGUUCAUGCCCUUUUUCCCCUUUUGAUUAUUAUCAUAAAUGAUUAUAUUUUUGAAUAUUUUAAAGUAAAGGGGGAGGGGCAGAUGUGAAUAUCAGAAUACCAGGUGGAGCCUCAGCUAUUGUAGCUGGUAGUGAUGAAUACAAACUUCCUGUGAUAUGAUUUAUAAUUGGAAACAAAACCAUCAGUCCUUGCUCAUUAUGAAGUAUUAUUUUAAGUAAUUUCUAUAGUUUUGCCAUCAAUUAUAAAAUAAACGCUUUCUUAUCUAUUCAAUAAUUUAAUUAUUUAGGGUUCAUAAAUUCAGAAGUUGUCAUAAACAAUUUUUAUCCAAAAUAAACUAUGAUAUUGCUAUUUUGAAGCAGGCAUGUAUUGUGUAUUUGAUGUGGAUUACAUGUAGGCAGUAAGAAAUGUGCCACUGAUAGUGAUACCAAAAGCAAGUGAUUUGGCAGCCCUUUUAAGUAUGUGUAUUAGGGCAGAGGUAAAAUGUUUAAACACUGUUCAAACGACUGUUGAAUGCAUAAAUUUCCUGUUUUGAUAACCGUUUGAAUGGAUUAUGCUUAAAAAUCCCCAAAAGUUGAUGAAAUUUCACAUUUUAUAUUUUUACAUCCAAGAAAUGUUUAAAUCUGUUUCCCAUGUUUCCUUGAAAUCAUUAUGAUCAAGCUGGAAACUAUCAAGAUAAUGAAGAAUAUUUCCUUCUUUUUUUUACUCUUGAGUCCUUUUUUCGACUUAAAAAGAUGUAUCACCUUGAAGAUUGAUUCAUAAUGUACAUUAAUAUUAUGUCUAAAGCUAAAGGUCAUUGACUUGUAUCAUGUGAUUCCAUCUUGAUUAUUUUUUUAGUGAUGCAAUAUUUUUUUUUUACAAGUUGAGAAAAGAACCACAAAGGCAUGAAUAAGUUUGAUAUCAGUGAUUGAAAGACUUAUCCUUGUCUCAUCCAUUGGCACAAAGUGUAACUUUAUGUAUAUUUAUGGAAUGGGGCGAGUGACCAUAUUUGUUUUGCCCAAAUUUUUCAUACUGUUGUCCCUCAUGUAGACAUUCAUGUCAGUUGAUCUUGUGUGACAUCAACUGAAAACGAUAUUUCAGAGUCCAAAGAGAAGGGAAUAUUCUUAAUUUUCUUGAAAGUUUUCAACUAAAUCAUACUACUGUAAUUUCUUAGAUGUAAAAAUGUGCAAUGUGAAAUUUCAAAGAAAUGCAUGUACAGCGUAUGGAAAAUUGCUGGCCGUUUCAUGGGUGUUAAGAUAUGAAAUGUGACAUUUCAGCAACUUUAGGGGAAGAUCAUUCAUGAAAUAUUGGACAGUUUUGGAUAGUAAGGGUUAUCACUGACAUUUUUUUGACAGUUUCAUGUCACAUGAACAAGUAUGAAGGUCGUUCAGGGUCAAUGUCCCUACACUAAUUGUAAGUGGCAAAUGGUUCCAGUGUUAUGAAGCUGACACACACAAUAAAUGAUUCAAAGGGAAUUGAAUACAUAACCCAUAGGUUUCUUGUAUUAAAAGAUGUCAUGGUUGUGUGGAUGGAAUAUGCCAGCAAUAGGCAUAAAUCAAUCUUCUGCUCUGUUCGAUUUCGUGAUGCAUGUAGGCCUAUUUCUAUUUCUAGUCUUCUCAGUUUUUAUAAUUCAAGCAUUAGCCCCAACUGCAUUUGGGUUAAUCCUCGUCAAGUGAUUAUUACCCACAUUCAGAUCGACUAUUUUCAGCCUCAAGUUAGAGUAUGAUGAUUCAUACUUUUUUUUCAAAACUAAAUUGCAUUUCCUGUCAGAGGAUGGAAUACGACAAAGAGUAGUUCAAUGUCGAUCUUCAUGUGUAGAAUACAUGAUUUCUCCUGUAGAGUUUCUAUAUGAAUUGAAGACUGUUUUGACAGUAAAGAGUGAUUGAAUAUAUUUUCUCUAUGAACUUUCAUGAGUGUCAACUAGACCCAUAUCAUUUCAAUUAUGUUUUGCUUUGUUUUGACGAGAGUGCUCAUUUAAAAAAAAAAUUGUGAGGAAAAAAGUAAUAGAAUCGGUUGAUGUUUAUUAUACACUCACUCAUACUGUGAUUUUGUUUUGUUUUGUAAAAUUGUGUUGAACUGGUCACUGUUACUUGGUUCUCUCUAUUAUAAUCUUGCCCCCAUUCCCCUCCCUCGAUCUGUCUGUAGCCUGUAGGCAGUGAUUUUAAAACCUUGGUUGAUUGUUAGUCUAUGUUAGUAGGCCUACAUGUACAUGUGUACAGGAGAUAUUCAUGGAAUCGUUUUUGCAGAGAUGUUUGAUGAGAGCCAAGUUCACUUUAGUCAGUGUUUCAAAAGCAUUCCAGUAACAAAAAACAAAUAAAACUAGUUUAAAACAUGGUUGUUGAAAGUACAAUGCAUCAUAUGUAAAUGUAUAGAAUACUACAGAUUAUUAGUCUGAUAGAAAACAUGUACUUUGAAACUUUCAUGAAGAUUAAGAUAAAUGCAUCUGCAUACAGUAGGCAGAUCCAUUACCUUUAAAACACCAUUUAAUAUUUUUUUUUAAAUUCAAGCUGGUUAACCAGACAAGCUGUCUGUUUCAUUGUAGUGCCCUCUAUCUGCUGGUAAACCAGCGUUCUUUGAAUCAUACUUGUGUGUUUGUCUUCCUCCCUCCACGGGCACACAAAUGCUAAACUUAUUGAGCAUAGCAACAGUGAUAUUCCAUUCACCCAAUACGCUGACUGCCUUGACAGCCUUGUCUGAUUGCCCGCACUGAUAUGCUGCAGGGACAGUCUCAGAAAAGCUCUCACGCUAUUCCCGUUCUGUGAUCCAUUUUCCGUCUAUUUUUUUUUACAAUGUCCUUUUUUUUGGGGGGGAUUAUUUAUUCAGUGCAUUCUUAUCCAUGUAUUUUUGUGUAUAUAAUUCCAUGAAAGAGACUUGAAACUCCCUACAGGUUUGUAUGAAAAUGUUUGCUAUUUUAUUAUUUACAUUACAAAUGCAGUAAUUGUCAAUUGUGAUUAAUCUUGAAUAAAUUGAGAGAAAAUGCGAAGAAAACAGAAUAAAUUUGUGUCAUACAUGUAAGUGACACAACAAGGACAUGCAGGCCCAGGCUAUCAGGGUUCCCCUUGUAUUCAGAUGCAAGUCUAGAUAUUUUCAUAAACUAUUGAGCAUGUAGUUAAGUAUGAUGCAGGCUUGGACUAGUGGAUUGAUUUAUGAUAUUGUUUUGACUGAUAUAAAUAUCAUUUUUCACAGUAUUUGCAUUGCUGGUGUCAGACAUUCUGCUAUGCAGUUUGAAGGCUUUGCAAAUGUAUCUCAUAUACCUGCAAAAUGUACUCCACAAAUUUAUACCUUGUCUUGGACAUAUAGGCCUACAUGUUGCAAAGAACAUUAAAAAAAAUGAUGGUGGUAGUUUAAAUUAAUGUAAAUAAUGAACUGUGUAUGAAAGCCUAGUUUUAGAUCAUGAAUUACACAUUUAUAGUCAUACAGAAGUAAUUUCAGAAAAUGAACAAGUUGAGAUAUAUAUCAGUCACAAAAUGAAUUGAAAUGAACCUUAAAUAUUUUCACCAAGUGUUUCACCAAGAAGCUCUGUAGCGGUUCAAAAUAAACUGGAUACAUGUAGGCCUAUAUGUAAUGUUCCAUGAAUCUAAAGUUUAUUUUUAUU